UAUAAAAGGAGCCCUAGAAAACCUAGCAGCCAGAAGCCAUCUUCUUCAACCUUCUUCACAAGACAAGAGAACGAGGCAAACCCUAGAGCCCUAGAACCCUAGAGCUAAAAAGGAGUUGCGCAGCAGCACUAAAAAGGGGGCAGAUGCUUGAAGGAAUAAAACGCAACAGUUGUUGCCCAUCUUCUUCCUCAAAACAACUUCAUCUUCUUCAUUCAACAACCAUGAAAACCAGCUGAAAAUUCAGUCAUUAAAACACCCCAAAAUCAGCACCUAAAACUCGACAAAACACAUCCAUUUUUACCUCGAAACGCAGCAGAAAUUCAAGCCGAAAAGAAGCAGUAAAACCAGUUUUUUAAACCUCCAAAAUCCAUCCAGGAACUCCAGCAAAGCUUCAGCUCGAAAUCGGUCUCGAAGUAGCUCAAAAAAUGAGUUGAAAAUAGUCUAAAAUCCAGCAACAACGAGCUGAAAAACAGCCCUGUUUCCACACCAAAUUCCGGCCAAAAACCAGCAUCCUUCUAGCCCCGAAAACCACCAGAAAUCACUCUCAAAACUGUUCGAAACGCAGCUGAAACCUCUGUUCGAAAUAGUUGUGUCGUUGCUAAAAAAGACCACCUGAAACACCACUCAAAAGUACCCUUUGAACACCAGGAAACAGCCGUGGAAAUGGAGCGAAAUCACCAUCCCUUUUCUUUGAUUGAGGUCGAGUCAAUGAGGUUUCUGGUCGAGAUCCUGGUCCCGAUUUAUGUGAGCUUCAUUCAACGUUUCCAAGAUCUUUGUAGUGCCGGAGGCAUCCUGCGGUUUUUGAAGCGAACCAAAUAGUAAGCAGUUCGAGGUCGUAGAUAAAGGUUUUAUUCGCUGGCUCAUUUGUUUCACUCAAAUUCCAGUCAGAAUCCGGUGAAGUUUUCGGCGAGACAUUCCAGUAGAGUUCUUGUCCGAGGUUUUGACAUUUCAGAUUCAUCGAGGUCUAUUUCUUCCUUCCUCACGUUGUUUGUGCUUAAUCUCUUUAUUAAUUUGUUGCUUCUCUCUUUGUUUGGAUGUUUGAGACUACGCUUCAUUGCUUUGUUUUGAUGAUAUUCUACUGUUUGUUUACUCCA